AUACAUCUGGGUGAGGAAUCUGAACGCAGUCCAACUGAUUUACCACAACGAAAUUAACUCAUAUCGGAAUCCUGCCGCCAUUUCUGAACCGCCUCGCGACGCGCAUCAGGCACCAGCUGCGAUCGCAUACCGCCCAACACAUUGCUGGUCGCUUCUGUGGCUAGAAUGAUUGGCUUCACGACCGUCGGAGGGAUUUGUCGCAACACUCCGCCAACCGCGCCAGAUACACCCUUGUGCUCGUGUUCCUCACUCGCUACGCGGACCAGCUGUGUCGCAGUUUCACCCAAACCCUGGAUAAUGAAUUAAAAAAUAUGUAUAUUAAAUUUACGUGAUUAAAACAUGGUGAUUACAUAUUGUUAGAAAAGUUAUAAUCCACAUAUAUCUCAACUUCUUUAAAGCAUAUUUUUUAGGAGACACUCGUCUCGAGAUACUUGUUAUCUUGAAAUAUCGUGACGAGUAAUAUGUCGUCUCUCAUUCACUCACUUCUUUGACCAGCAUAUAGGCGUUGGCCACUCCUUCGCGAAUAUCCAACGGCUGACUGUGCCUUUUUCGACGGCCUUUCUGUCCUUUAUUUUUGUACCUCACGCUGGGACCAGGGCUGACCAUAUCGUACGCCGUUUCGGCUGUGCUCUGUAUCGCGUGCACGAGUCUGGAUGUGAGUUCUAACGCCGCCAUCGCGGUGGACGUCGUGAAACUGUUUGCACCACGCUGUAAACCACGCACGAUUCUCCCGUCUUUUUGGUAC